AUUAGUUACAUGAGUGAGACUCUGCAGUAAGAAAAAGAAAAAAAGAAAUGGGCCUAGGUGAGGGGUAUAAAAUACCAAGCUGUAAAUCAUGCACAUUUUCUCUCCCAUGUACCGGAGGCAAAUUACAAGUAUGAGAGCAACCUGGUCUGGCCCUCAAGGGAAAGUAUGUCACAUUGUAGCAAGGUCCUGUGCUGUGAAUGGACACCAUUCCUCUUUUUUCCACAAACAGUGCAGAGAGCUGUCGGAGUGGCAAUUUGAGCAGAUUCCCGGUGCUCCCUCUGCUCCUACAAUACUACAGUAAGUAAAUGAGCCGUAGGGGAGCGGGGAGUCUGGAGAGGAGCUGAGCUCUGUAGCCGGCCUUCCCCGAGGAAGGCCGUCCUGCCUGUAGCUGCUGUGAUAGCUGCUCACAGCGUUCUGAAUCAGGGUUUCUCUGUAAGAAAUCCCGUAGCAUUAACAAAAACUACGAUGAUCCACCCUUCAUGAUUUUCACAGUUCAGAGGAUGUUGUCUGCUGUCACUGCUGUGAGUAGCUUUGUGGUGUGUGGUUCAUGAACUGGUCUGGAGUCUGGAGAGGACAGUGACUGGGAGGUAGGAGGGCCUUCCUCAGUCCCCACUCUGAAGUCAUGCAAAAGCCCGACACUAGCUAUUAAUUGUACUAGCUAUUAGGAGUUCCUCCUAGAGAUGAGCCCUGCUUCUCAGUUGUGCUAGAAAAAGCUUUUGACGGUGUGAAUUCAGUUCUUCUCUGUACAGAAGGGAACACUGGGUUACUUAAUGGAUUUGUGUAUACACAGCAUCUGUUGCCAUCUAGUCUGCCGUGUCAAGAGCACAUGGAAAAAGGAUACUCCAUCUUUUAUAAACCCUUUUCUUUGGCUGUAUCUGAUGACAGUGUAAGAUCCUAAUAAAGUUUUAUGUUCUUUUU
rnacentral:lncRNA from 1 species